AUGAACGCUGGCGGCGUGCCUAAUACAUGCAAGUCGAGCGAACAGACGAGGAGCUUGCUCCUCUGACGUUAGCGGCGGACGGGUGAGUAACACGUGGAUAACCUACCUAUAAGACUGGGAUAACUUCGGGAAACCGGAGCUAAUACCGGAUAAUAUAUUGAACCGCAUGGUUCAAUAGUGAAAGACGGUUUUGCUGUCACUUAUAGAUGGAUCCGCGCCGCAUUAGCUAGUUGGUAAGGUAACGGCUUACCAAGGCGACGAUGCGUAGCCGACCUGAGAGGGUGAUCGGCGACACUGGAACUGAGACACGGUCCAGACUCCUACGGGAGGCAGAAGUAGGGAAUCUUCCGCAAUGGGCGAAAUCCUGACGGAGCAACGCCGCGUGAGUGAUGAAGGUCUUCGGAUCGUAAAACUCUGUUAUUAGGGAAGAACAAAUGUGUAAGUAACUAUGCACGUCUUGACGGUACCUAAUCAGAAAGCCACGGCUAACUACGUG
rnacentral:rRNA from 1 species